UACAGAGGGGGGCAAGCGUUAUUCGGAAUUAUUGGGCGUAAAGGGCGCGUAGGCGGCCUGGCAAGUGGAAGGUGAAAUCCCUCGGCUUAACCGAGGAACUGCCUUCCAAAACUGCUUGGCUUGAGUCCGGGAGAGGUGAGUGGAAUUCCCAGUGUAGCGGUGAAAUGCGUAGAUAUUGGGAGGAACACCAGUGGCGAAGGCGGCUCACUGGACCGGAACUGACGCUGAUGCGCGAAAGCGUGGGGAGCAAACGGG
rnacentral:rRNA from 1 species